UGACCUCAAAUCAGGUAGGACUACCCGCUGAA
rnacentral:ncRNA from 4 species